UACGUAGGGUGCAAGCGUUAAUCGGAAUUACUGGGCGUAAAGCGUGCGCAGGCGGUCCGUUAAGACAGAUGUGAAAUCCCCGGGCUCAACCUGGGAACUGCCUUUGUGACUGCAUAGCUAGAGUACGGUAGAGGGGAUGGAAUUCCGCGUGUAGCAGUGAAAUGCGUAGAUAUGCGGAGGAACACCGAUGGCGAAGGCAAUCCCCUGGACCUGUACUGACGCUCAUGCACGAAAGCGUGGGGAGCAAACAGG
rnacentral:rRNA from 1 species